CUCCGCCUGGGGAGUACGGUCGCAAGACUGAAACUCAAAGGAAUUGACGGGGGCCCGCACAAGCGGUGGAGCAUGUGGUUUAAUUCGAAGCAACGCGAAGAACCUUACCAGGUCUUGACAUCCUCUGACAAUCCUAGAGAUAGGACGUCCCCUUCGGGGGCAGAGUGACAGGUGGUGCAUGGUUGUCGUCAGCUCGUGUCGUGAGAUGUUGGGUUAAGUCCCGCAACGAGCGCAACCCUUGAUCUUAGUUGCCAGCAUUCAGUUGGGCACUCUAAGGUGACUGCCGGUGACAAACCGGAGGAAGGUGGGGAUGACGUCAAAUCAUCAUGCCCCUUAUGACCUGGGCUACACACGUGCUACAAUGGACAGAACAAAGGGCAGCGAAACCGCGAGGUUAAGCCAAUCCCACAAAUCUGUUCUCAGUUCGGAUCGCAGUCUGCAACUCGACUGCGUGAAGCGGAAUCGCUAGUAAUCGCGGAUCAGCAUGCCGCGGUGAAUACGUUCCC
rnacentral:rRNA from 1 species